CAGAUCUGCCGCUAGGGAUUGCAUUCCACAGGAGAGGAAUUCCUUUGUCAACUUCCAAGCCAAAACCGGUGUAGAGAAUGCAGAACUGUGUCUGGUGUUGCUGGACCGUUGGAUACUCUUGAUAAAGUUAAGUGAUCUUAGCAACAACCACAUUGGAGGGCCAUUUCAUUCACUGUGUAAUAAACAUUGUGAAUAUAAUGCUUAAAAAAUAAAUUAUAAACAUUGUGAAUAUACUGCUUUUGUGCUGUGUGCAGGCUGCCAUUGUGAAUUCACAGACCCUUGAAGAAGUUGCAAGACUUAAAAAGGUAUAGGAUGCAUCCAGAGAUAUGCAAAUCCUCUUCGCUGCAUUUUGAUGACAAUAAAGCACAAAAUAGGAGCCAAUAACAUAUAUUUGAUGGAUUGCUGCUGGUUGUUGACUUGUUUAUUUCAUUGUUGCUGCCUUGCUGGUUGUUCUGUUGAAUUAUUGAAACUGCUUCUGUUUUGUUUUGUUUGUUUUGCUGUUCUAUUAAAUUACUGAAUUACUUUUGAGUUUUGAAGUGAUUUAGUAUGAUUUAUCAAGUGCUAGAGGUUUUGGAUCAAGUGUUGGAGGUUUUGAAUUACUGAAUUAUUGUUGAAUUACUUUAUUGUUGGUAUUGUUGCUGGUUGGUUAAUAAAUUUGUAAAUUGCUUGAUUUUGUAAACAGGAUCUUGAUUU